AGCACGGACUUCGGUCUGGUGGCGAGUGGCGAACGGGUGAGUAAUGUAUCGGAACGUGCCUAGUAGCGGGGGAUAACUACGCGAAAGCGUAGCUAAUACCGCAUACGCCCUACGGGGGAAAGCGGGGAUCGCAAGACCUUGCACUAGUAGAGCGGCCGAUAUCGGAUUAGCUAGUUGGUGGGGUAACGGCUCACCAAGGCGACGAUCCGUAGCUGGUUUGAGAGGACGACCAGCCACACUGGGACUGAAACACGGCCCAGACUCCUACGGGAGGCGGCGGUGGGGAAUUUUGGACAAUGGGGGAAACCCUGAUCCAGCCAUCCCGCGUGUGCGAUGAAGGCCUUCGGGUUGUAAAGCACUUUUGGCAGGAAAGAAACGUCAUGGGCUAAUACCCCGUGAAACUGACGGUACCUGCAGAAUAAGCACCGGCUAACUACGUGCCAGCAGCCGCGGUAAUACGUAUGGUGCAGGCGUUAAUCGGAAUUACUGGGCGUAAAGACGUGCGCAGGCGGUUCGGAAAGAAAGAUGUGAAAUCCCAGAGCUUAACUUUGGAACUGCAUUUUUAACUACCGAGCUAGAGUGUGUCAGAGGGAGGUGGAAUUCCGCGUGUAGCAGUGAAAUGCGUAGAUAUGCGGAGGAACACCGAUGGCGAAGGCAGCCUCCUGGGAUAACACUGACGCUCAUGCACGAAAGCGUGGGGAGCAAACAGGAUUAGAUACCCUGGUAGUCCACGCCCUAACCUGUCAAUUGACAUCUUU
rnacentral:rRNA from 1 species